rnacentral:rRNA from 1 species
UUUAAAGUCUAAUCUGCCCAAUGAUAAUUUAAAUGGCCGCGGUAAUUUGACCGUGCAAAGGUAGCAUAAUCAUUAGUUUUUUAAUUGAAAGCUGGAAUGAACGAUUGGACGAGAAAAUAACUGUCUUUGUUUAACUGAUUCGAAUUUUAUUUUUUAGUAAAAAAGCUUAAAUUUUUUUAAAAGACGAGAAGACCCUAUAGAGCUUUAUAUUAGUUAAUAUAUUUGUUUUGAAGAAGAUUUUUAUCGGUAUUUAUUAGGUAUUUUGUUGGGGCGAUAGAAAAAUUGAUGAAACUUUUUUUAUUUAAAAUCAUUAAUUUAUGUUUAAGUGAUCCAUGUUUUAUGAUUAUAAGAUUCAGUUACCUUAGGGAUAACAGCGUUAUUUUUUUUUAGAGUUCUAAUCGAAAAAAGAGUUUGCGACCUCGAUGUUGGAUUAAAAUUAACUUUUGGUGCAGGGGCUAAAUGGUUAGGUCUGUUCGACCUUUAAAAUUUUACAUGAUCUGAGUUUAAACCGGCGUGAGCCAGGUUGGUUUCUAUCUUUAAAAUUUAAUGAAUUUUUUAGUACGAAAGGAUCAAAGAUUUAAAAUAAUUAUUGUAUUUUGGAUUUAAUUAA